UGUAGGUUUAUGUUUUAUUUUAAAACUUUAUAAUUUAUUUGAUCUUAUUUUAAUGAUUCUUCCACUAUUUUAAAAAAACUUUUGCAAAUGAAGAUGAGGGUGAUUCAAAAAUCCUUCCAUGUUUUUUUUUUUUUUGCCAUUUAAGCAGGCUGGACAACAGGAACCAAUAAAUCUUGGCCUACUAGACAAUUUGGCCUUGGCUGAAGAUCUGCCUACUAUUAAGAAGAAAUGCUUGACCAAAACAUUGGGAAAUCCGAAAGCAAGAUAAGUCAUUUUGGGGUCCUUGAGCAGACACGGCUGGGUUGUGGAAGGCUGGUUUAUCAAUAAAAUGUGGAACUCUCAUUCCAAAAUAGGUUGACUAGCCACUUCCAUGCUAAUUGCAUGCAUACAUACAUACUCAUGUAUUCAUGAAAUAAAAAGAUAAAAAUCCAAACAGUGAAAAUUUUAAAAAGGUCUCCAUCUGGCACCAGUGAGAAUAUAAAGGAGGCAUCUGAGAAGAACAUUCUACCAACUGACUCUGCUGCUCUGUCAGUCCUUUGGUCCUUCCUCUCACCUCAGACUAUGAAUUUAGUGAAAGAAGAAUUCAGAUAAAGGUCUUUGGAUAUGCAAAGAUAUCCAGUCUGAUCCUGGAACCCAAAACAUGCAGAGCAUUUCAGAUUUGUGGCAAAGGGACUCCAAGGACAGGACUUUCUCUUCACCCAGGAGAAGACACUCUGGCCCACAGGAAUCCCUGCUGGAAACCUUGGGAUUGCUGCUGCAGAUAAAAUAUCCCAAAGACACAUUUCUUUCAAGAUUGCAGAAAUGUAGGUCGCUCCAGGCCAUGGUCUUAAAGGAGCUAUUUCCCCGAGUUCCUUCAAACAUUUCAUAGUUAUUUCAAUCUGUAUUACAUAGCAGCUCAUUAUACCGCACCAGUCUAUGACUGUGUUGAAUCUACAAUAUCUAUUUGUAUCUCCUUGUGUAUAUCUUUCACCCCAAGUCUCUGAAACUCUAAAGAAAUCAAUGUCAUUAAAAGAGACCAUCACCUUUAGAUCACUUUGACCGUCAAUGACUUCACAUAGACAAAUCAACAAAUUCUUAAUGUGGUUUGCCAUGGCUUUUUUUCAAGAUUAUUUUUUUGUUGUUGUUCCCAGUAGAGUCUACACUGAUAUUCCUUGGAGGUGUCUCAUCCCAUUAUUCAUUAUUCCUGACCCGGUUUGACUCCAAGCUGAGAUAAACUCAGCCAAAUGCUGCCAUCUGCCGUUCCAGUCUUCAUACAGGUCCAAUCAAAGAAGGCACUGAAAUAAUUAACUGAUAGAACAUCUUCCCUGCCCAAUGAGAUCAAAGUAAAGUGAAUGAGGAUCCUUCAAAAGGCUUUUCCAUAAUUAAGCCAGAAUAUAAGUUGCACACAGCUUACCUGUGCUUUUGAGAAGAGCUUGACUCCCUCUUCUUUGUGGCAGCCCCUGAGAUAUUGGAAGACUGCUAUCAUGUCCCCCCCCCCUCGUCCUUCUUUUCAUUAAAGAUUAUUCAAAUGAAGGAAGAUCUGUG